GAUGAACGCUGGCGGCGUGCCUAAUACAUGCAAGUCGAGCGAACGGACGAGAAGCUUGCUUCUCUGAUGUUAGCGGCUGACGGGUGAGUAACACGUGGAUAACCUACCUCUAAUACUGGGAUAACUUCGGGAAACCGGAGCUAAUACUGGAUAAUAUUUUGAACCGCAUGGUUCAAAAGUGAAACACGGUCUUGCUGUCACUUAUAGAUGAUUCCGCGCUGUAUUAGCUAGUUGGUAAGGUAACGGCUUACCAAGGCAACGAUGCAUAUCCGAGCUGAUAGGGUGAUCGGCCACACUGGAACUGAGACACGGUCCAGACUCCUACGGGGAGCAGCAGUAGGGAAUCUUCGGCAAUGGGCGAAAGCCUGACGGAGCAACGCCGCGUGAGUGAUAAAGGUCUUCUGAUCGUAAAACUCUGUUAUUAGGGAAGAACAUAUGUGUAAGUAACUGUGCACAUCUUGAAGGUACCUAAUCAGAAAGCCACGGCUAACUACGUG
rnacentral:rRNA from 1 species